rnacentral:lncRNA from 1 species
GUUCUGAUUAUUAUUAUUAUUAUUAUUAUUAUUAUUAUUAUUAUUAUUAUUAUUUUUUUUCUUCCGCCAACUUUUUUUUCCUUCACUGUUUUUUUGUUUCCCAAGAUGUCGCUUAGAUAUAUGGUAUAUGAUAUCGAACAGUUAAUACGCUUCUGAAACUGACACCGCGUAACAAAAAACUUUACCUUGUAAGAGUUAUCUCCCCGAACACUGUUUUUCUUGUUAUCUCUAAGGCUUCGCAACCGUAUAAGAAACCGACAAAUUUAUUUUUCCAAAUUGCUCGUUAUAUCCUCAGGAUGUUCUGUUUUAUUUUGACCGAAGCUAUCCGGAGACUCCAUAUGAGCGUUAUCCCCCCUUUUGUAUAUGAUAUAGGUGAUAUGCAUUUCUAACUGGUAAACCAUAAGUGAUAGAGACCCAGGGUCUUUUGAUUUAAGAUCCUUGGUCCAAAAAAAUGAAAAUUAGGUCACGGUCAAAGGUCAAGGUCAAAUUCUAAAUUUUGAUUUGGGCUUAUUUUCACUUAUUUUCAUUAACCUUAUAAGAUAUUGACAAUUUAUUUUUACUAAAUUGUUAGUUGCGACAUGUCGUAACUUAUACAUUUUGGUUGCAAGGGUGCGUAGACAAUAAAUGGGAGUUUUCGCCCCUAUUAUAUUUAGAAUUAUGCGUAAAGUGAUAUUACUCAUGAACCAUACAUAUUAAGGAACUAGUGUCUUUUGAUUCGAGAUGUUAAGUCUAUGACCUUGAAAUUGAGGUCAAGGUCAAAGGUUAAUUGGACGUUCUAGAUUUUGACCUUUGCUUUAAAUUCAUAUUUAUACAUCAUAAAGCCAUAGGAACUGACAUUUUUAACUGAAUUUUAAUAUUUUCAUAUCAAAAUAGAUCUUUAUUAGUUGAAAGACCUUCAAUUGUUCUUUGAACAAUUGGUUUUUAAUUAUUUUUUUUUUUCUUCCGCCAAAUUUUUUUUCCUUCACUGUUUUUUUGUUUCGCAAAGAUGUCGCUUAGAUAUAUAGUAUAUGAUAUGGAACAGUUGAUACGCUUCUGAAACUGACACCGCGUAACAAAAACCUUUACCAUGUAAGAGUUAUCUCCCCGAACACUGUUUUUCUUGUUAUCUCUAAGGCUUCGCAACCGUAUAAGAAACCGACAAAUUUAUUUUUCCAAAUUGCUCGUUAUAUCCUCAGGAUGUUCUGUUUCAUUUGGACCGAAGCUAUCCGGAGACUCCAUAUGAGAGUUAUCCCCCCUUUUAUAUAUGAUAUAAGUGAUUUGCAGUUCUAAAUGGUAAACCAUAAGUGAUUGAGACUUAGGGUCUUUUGAUUUAAGAUCCUUGGUCCAAAAAAAUGAAAAUUAGGUCAAGGUCAAAGGUCAAGGUCAAAUUCUAAAUUUUGAUUUUGGCUUAUUUUCACUUAUUUUCAUUAACCGUAUAAGAUAUCGACAAAUUAUUUUUACUAAAUUGUUAGUUGCGACAUGUUGUAACUUAUAAAUUUUGGUCGCAAGGGUGCGUAGACAACAAAUGGGAGUUUUCGCCCCUCUUAUAUUUAGAAUUAUGCGUAAAGUGAUAUUACUCAUGAACCAUACAUAUUAAGGAACUAGUGUCUAUUGAUUCGAG